GAUGUACAAUUUUCAACUAAAAUCAACCAAAGUCCAAGACGUCCUUGUAAUACACUGACUUAGAAUGAUCCACUCAUUAUAUAAAUCGGACCAUUUUAUAUAAAAAUAACUCAAAUCUUACCCCCUCCUCCUCCCGAAAGUGCACACAUAACUUUAUAACAGGGGUUUUUUCUCUAACCUCGUUCGGAUGGCAAAAUGUACAACCUUCUUUCCAUCAGCUCCUGGUUUUACGAUUUCAUGAAAAAGCGGCACACAGACUACAGAGGCUACAGCAGACAGCACCAUACUCGUGCUCAAGCUCUGCUUACACCACGAGCCUUUCAUGCUAUAUCAAAUAGCACCAGACCACCACUCUUGCCCAUGGUUAAGGCAAGAUCAAGCCAAGUACCUAAACAAGUGGGGGUUGUCUUUGUCUCUCUCUAAAUAGUCCCGAGUGAUCAGAUCUUCGAUUCUCUUCUUUAUCGCUUUGAAGUCGGGCUUGAACAUACGACCCAAUUGCUCGACGCACUCCAUCACUAGCUGCUGAUGACCCAGAACUUUCCGACUCUUCAUGAUACGCACGAUUGAGGCAUCAAUAGCAUACCUUCGAUCCUUGUCAACAUCUUCAAUGACUUUCUUUUUCUCAUCCACAGGCGGAAGAGGGAUCUUUAUUCUCCUCAUUUUGUCGGAGAAUUUUGCAUUGAACUCAAAAUGAUCAUUCGGAGAGAUGGUUUUCGUGUUCGGCUCCUUAUUAAGAAUUUUAUACUUGGCACAUGACAAUGAGUGGAGCAGUCUAACAACAUCAUCGUCACUCAAAUUUAAUUGUGUCAUGAUCUCGGAAUAACUUAAUCUAUCUGAGGAAUUGAAUAGCAGCAGGGCAGAAGCCUGAUAAGUUGUUACAAUCAGCUCCAUCGUUUUCGGUUCAAAUUUUCCGCUGAUGUUACAGGUACCCAAUGAGUAAAUCCAUGUAAGUUUUCUAUGCUUUGUUUUUGUUUGAUAGAAC
rnacentral:misc_RNA from 1 species